rnacentral:lncRNA from 1 species
ACUUUGAUUUUUGGUUUGACUUUAAUGUGGGUUCAUGCACACACUUCAUGAUCCUACUUUUCUUUGCUUCAUUGGGAGUAGGACCCGCUCUAGUGCAUGCAUUUUUAAAGGUGUGUUGUGUGGCCAACUUCCCUUCUUUGGCAUUUCUAGUGGCUGUGCUUACCUCCCCUUAGCUUUCUCUUUCUGGGGGGUGUUUUAUCUAGUGUUUUGUAAUAGGCUUCUUAGCGGUGUGAGUGGUUGGUGUUAUUCUUGGGAGGCUUUUGUUGAUGUUUGUUCUUUUAUUU